ACACCACACUCAAUUCUCCCAGAGAGAAAUAUAAAGGAAGCACAGAGUACUUCUCCAGGCUGUGUUCUCCGACAUGAAAACCAGGAAGUGCAGUGCACUGCUCUUGUUGCCAUGCCUGCCAGGAAGCUGAAACAGAACUGAGACGGAGUUCUAGGACUCAAAUACUCGACUCUUUCUUUUCUUCACUUCCCCUUUAUCUGCCAUUCCUUUCUGCCAUUAUAAGCUGUCUCCUUCUUACAUCUUUUUCAAAGAUUUUGAAUCCUCUGGGUCAGGCACACCGGAACCUUUUGGAGGGCAGAUGGCGUGUGAGUGUAAGAACAGCAAGCAGGAGGUAUGAGCUUUUAAUAUUAGCUCUGCCUAUGACUCAUCCUGUGUUUAGGUAUUGAGGCUUGAUGUUUAUUCUUGGGAUAUAGUUCAGGCAUUUUCCAGAUGAGGAAGGGCUUUGGGGCAUCUAGCUGGCUUUUCCUAAUAACUCACACAGUCGUCCUCAUCUUGUUUAAGUAUGGCUUACUUCUCUGAGGGUCUUUGAUCCCCUGACUGCAGACACUCUGGCACCAGGGAGCCUUAAAGGUCAAGGAGUGAAGAUACACACAGAGGUUUGGAUGUGGUCUGUUUGCCAAGAGUUCACAUGCCAGGGGCUUGGUCUCCAGUGUGGAAGGCUAAAAGAUUGUAGAGUCUUAAGAGAUGGACUAACGUGCAUGGUUACUACAAGAAAGGUCAUUUGAUUUCAUGGGGCUCUUGGGGCCAUCACAGAGUCUCAGGCAAUGUCUCAAGUGAGCCUGGCUGGCCUCAAACUCACUCCACGGUGAGGACAAGCAGGAACUCCACCUCUCCAGUGCCGGGAAAACAGGCAAGGAGCCAUCACAGAUGCUUCAUUCCUUGCUAGUACUUGAAGCCAGGGCCUGCUGCAUGCCCUGCAGGCCAUCUAACAACUGAACCACAUCUGCCCUAUUUGCUUCUCAAAGCUGUCACCUGUGAAGCCUUGAGUUUCAGCUCUUCCUAAAGAAAUACAAAAAAGAAAUCAGAGACAAUCCUUUGUUCCUCUUAUUGCAUUUAGCUGUGAUAACACUGAGAUUGAACUUCGUUUAAUUGUUAUUGAGGAGUUAGCAAGGAAAGAAUUACAAAUGCUCACAUGGUUCCAUAAACUUACAACCUACAGCUCAAUUAGACGGUAUUUUAAAGCUAAUUAAGUGUUCUAUUCACUGUCCUUCUCUGCUCUAGAGGAGUAUUUCCAGGUGAGAGUUUACAGGUCUAUAACCUCAAACUUUUCUCUCAUCUUGAUCAGAAUAAUAUGGAAAUGUAUGUAGACACUCACCUCACCUGUGGAAGGCAGCUUCACCCAUAUCUUUUGAAACCACGUUUUCAGAGAAGAAACUGCUUAUGUUUUAUUACAAGAAUAUUUCUCAUUCCCAUGUUGGUCCCAGAAGACACUGUGGGUUAUUGUAGAAUACAUUCACUUACAAGGAAGCAUGGUGAUUUCAGUUCAUGUAAGUGACUACAGCUCAUUUUUGC